AUUGAACGCUGGCGGCAGGCCUAACACAUGCAAGUCGAACGAGAGGCGGACGGGUGAGUGAUGUCUGGGAAACAGCCUGACGGAGGGGGAUAACUACUGGAAAAGGGAGCUAAUACCGCAUACCAUGAGAAGGGCCGGGAUGGGAUUAGCUAGGUGGUGGGGUAAGGUCUGACCAAGGCGACGAUCCCUAGCUGGUCUGAGAGGAUGACCAGCCACCCUGGAACGGAGCCACGGUCCAGACUCCUCCGGGAGGCGGCAGUGGAGAAAAGUGCACAAGGGGCGCAGCCCUGGUGCGACCAUGCCGCGUGUAGGAAGAAGGGCUUCGGGUAGUAGAGUUCUUUCAGCGGGGAGGCGUUACCCGCAGAAGAAGCACCGGCUAACUCCGUGCCAGCAGCCGCGGUAAUUC
rnacentral:rRNA from 1 species